rnacentral:rRNA from 1 species
AGCGAACGCUGGCGGCAGGCUUAACACAUGCAAGUCGAGCGCCGUAGCAAUACGGAGCGGCAGACGGGUGAGUAACACGUGGGAACGUGCCUUCUGGUUCGGAAUAACUCAGGGAAACUUGAGCUAAUACCGGAUAAGCCCUUCGGGGGAAAGAUUUAUCGCCGGAAGAUCGGCCCGCGUAAGAUUAGCUAGUUGGUGAGGUAAUGGCUCACCAAGGCGACGAUCCGUAACUGGUCUGAGAGGAUGAUCAGUCACACUGGAACUGAGACACGGUCCAGACUCCUACGGGAGGCAGCAGUGGGGAAUAUUGGACAAUGGGCGCAAGCCUGAUCCAGCCAUGCCGCGUGAGUGAUGAAGGCCUUAGGGUUGUAAAGCUCUUUUAGCAGGGACGAUAAUGACGGUACCUGCAGAAAAAGCCCCGGCCAACUUCGUGCCAGCAGCCGCUGUAA